UGACGGCCAGAGCCUCCUGCACUGUGGGAUCCGGACGGUGGGAUCUGCACAGUGGCAUCACCAGGCCCGCUCUGCCCUCGGGGAGGCCUGAAAUCCUGCUUUGGGGAGUUCAGGGUGAGUUCGGUUCAUCCAGUUAUCCACAGAACAGACUCUAUUGCUCUGGUUCAAGCGAUCAGUCCCACUUCGCAAACGAAAACGCUCAUCUGGCGUUCUAACACACGUAACUCCAGUGCCUGCUCCCCUGAGAAAAGAGGACUAUGUGCGGAACACCCGAACCGCAAAAUGCCUGUCAGGUUGUCAAGCUGUGAGACAACCACCUCCCUGAGAAGAGAUAAGAGAGUCUGUCUUCCGGGCGGAAGUCCCGCCUCACAAGCCCGGACUGCACCGGAACCCAGGAACCAGUUUCCGGUGUGCUCUUUCGGCUGUGCCUGGCUCAAGACCUGACUGUGGAAGUCAGAUUUCGCUAUUUUCUUUUCGCCUCCCUACAUUGACAGUCAAGUCCACGAUGCAGGUCUGAGCAGAACUUCCCUCCCGUCAGAGGUUGGAAGGGAAACUAGAGAAAGGCUGCAUUGCAGGAGUCCUGGCAGGGAAAGAACGUCUGAGCAUUGUAGAGGCUGGGCCGCCCCCUUGAGCCCAGUGCUCCCCGCACCCCCCACCCCAAGGUGAAAUGUGGCUCAAGAAAUAACGCCACAAUGGAUUGUUUUACUCAGAGGUUAUGAGGCAGGUGCCACUGUUGACUCCAUUUUAUAGAUGAGGAAGCCCAGUAGAGGGAGGUUAAGAAAGUCACCCCAGGUGACAAUGGCAAAGAUCUGCUGCCAGAGCCACCUUCCUAAAUGAGUAUCAGUCUCUCGGCUGUCGCCUGUCGGAUUAAUAACUGCUCCUCUACUGGAGAGAGCAGGGAAGAAGGGGCAGGAGCUCCUCUGAGCAGCCAUGGCACUCUGGGGGUUAGUGCAGACGUCUCAUCUUUUGUGGACCAACGUGGAAACUCCAUUCCAGCUUCCUGCCUGUGGCUAGGCAGCCUUGGAAGAAGAUGAGCUAUAGAAUUUUCCACAGCAGAAAGAGAGAAAUCAUCAGAAGAAACAAGAGCAUCAUCAAAUCAAUUUUAUUACCUGUCUCUUAGCAGCCUGUAGUACAACCCAAAAGCCUACUGUGCGACUCAAGACAGGAAGUGGCCUGGGCUUCAGAAGGCAUUUACAGAGAAGAAAUGUUCCCAGGAAACAUAACAUCCAAGCAGCAUGCCCUGUGAUCCCAGAACAACACAAUAGUGAUUUGUCUGCCACAUUGCCUUCAGGGAAUCAGGAGGAGGAAAUGACCACUCUCUUAUUUUGAAGAAAGUUCAGCACAAGGGCAAAAUCAUCGAAAAAACUUGACCAGAUAGGCUCAAGGAAGCAGAUGUGGACAAGAGGCAGAUUUGAUUGGGAGGGACAUCAGAAAAAUAUGGAACAUGUUUGAACAGUAGGCCCAAAUGGGGCCCAGAACAGCCACUGUGGUCAGCCUGGAGCCAGCAUGAGGACCCCAAGUACUUGAAGCAGGCAGGGAGGAGAUGGUGAGAAUGAGGGAGAGAUA